UUUAUGGAGAGUUUGAUCCUGGCUCAGGAUGAACGCUGGCGGCGUGCCUAAUACAUGCAAGUCGAGCGAACGGACGAGAAGCUUGCUUCUCUGAUGUUAGCGGCGGACGGGUGAGUAACACGUGGAUAACCUACCUAUAAGACUGGGAUAACUUCGGGAAACCGGAGCUAAUACCGGAUAAUAUUUUGAACCGCAUGGUUCAAAAGUGAAAGACGGUCUUGCUGUCACUUAUAGAUGGAUCCGCGCUGCAUUAGCUAGUUGGUAAGGUAACGGCUUACCAAGGCAACGAUGCAUAGCCGACCUGAGAGGGUGAUCGGCCACACUGGAACUGAGACACGGUCCAGACUCCUACGGGAGGCAGCAGUAGGGAAUCUUCCGCAAUGGGCGAAAGCCUGACGGAGCAACGCCGCGUGAGUGAUGAAGGUCUUCGGAUCGUAAAACUCUGUUAUUAGGGAAGAACAUAUGUGUAAGUAACUGUGCACAUCUUGACGGUACCUAAUCAGAAAGCCACGGCUAACUACGUGCCAGCAGCCGCGGUAAUACGUAGGUGGCAAGCGUUAUCCGGAAUUAUUGGGCGUAAAGCGCGCGUAGGCGGUUUUUUAAGUCUGAUGUGAAAGCCCACGGCUCAACCGUGGAGGGUCAUUGGAAACUGGAAAACUUGAGUGCAGAAGAGGAAAGUGGAAUUCCAUGUGUAGCGGUGAAAUGCGCAGAGAUAUGGAGGAACACCAGUGGCGAAGGCGACUUUCUGGUCUGUAACUGACGCUGAUGUGCGAAAGCGUGGGGAUCAAACAGGAUUAGAUACCCUGGUAGUCCACGCCGUAAACGAUGAGUGCUAAGUGUUAGGGGGUUUCCGCCCCUUAGUGCUGCAGCUAACGCAUUAAGCACUCCGCCUGGGGAGUACGACCGCAAGGUUGAAACUCAAAGGAAUUGACGGGGACCCGCA
rnacentral:rRNA from 1 species